UUUCCGUAGGUGAACCUGCGGAAGGAUNAUUG
rnacentral:rRNA from 2 species